CCUACGGGAGGCAGCAGUGGGGAAUAUUGGACAAUGGGGGGAACCCUGAUCCAGCCAUGCCGCGUGUGUGAAGAAGGCCCUCGGGUUGUAAAGCACUUUCAGUGAGGAAGAACGCCUGGUGGUUAAUACCCAUCAGGAAAGACAUCACUCACAGAAGAAGCACCGGCUAACUCCGUGCCAGCAGCCGCGGUAAUACGGAGGGUGCGAGCGUUAAUCGGAAUUACUGGGCGUAAAGCGCGCGUAGGUGGCUUGAUAAGCCGGUUGUGAAAGCCCCGGGCUCAACCUGGGAACGGCAUCCGGAACUGUCAAGCUAGAGUGCAGGAGAGGAAGGUAGAAUUCCCGGUGUAGCGGUGAAAUGCGUAGAGAUCGGGAGGAAUACCAGUGGCGAAGGCGGCCUUCUGGACUGACACUGACACUGAGGUGCGAAAGCGUGGGUAGCGAACAGGAUUAGAUACCCCAGUAGUC
rnacentral:rRNA from 1 species